UAAAAAGAGGAAAGAAACAGAAUAGCAGGGGACGAAACAGAGAAGGGAGAAAGGAAGAAAAGAAAAAGGGAAAAAUAAGGUUUUAAAGGUUCCAAGUUAAUUUGGUAAGUCAAUUUAGCCCCUUUUUCUUAUGAUUUUUGAGUUUUUGGAAUCCUAGAGAUAAAUACUACUUGUUUUAAGUAGAAAUUUUGAAAGUCAUUAGAUUUCUAAGUAUGGUUCAUGUUGAAUAAAAUGAUGGAAUUGGGGGUUUAUUUGAUAGAAAUUUUGAUUGGAAUUGAAUAAAGGAUUGAAUCGUAAACUAAGCUAUAAGUUUUGAGUUUUAGGGAUUAAAUGGAAAUAAAUUCGAAAUUAUGAAAAUAUGCUGGAAAUUUAAUAGUUAAGUAUGAGUUUGGACAAAUUUUGAAUAGAAAUGAAGUAUGAAUUGAGAUAGAAAAAGUAAGUAAAUCUAGUUAAGAUUAAAUUGAAAUUAAAGUAGAAAUUGAAUAAAAAUUGUAUUAAUUAGAUAUAAAUUAGUAGUGAAUUAACGAAUAUGAAUUAUUUUAAUUCCCGUAGCUAAUGUUGUCUCGGGAAACCUCGGCUAAGCAAGGAAAAAAAAUGGCAAAGACAAAGGGAGUUAGCUCGAGAAAAUACGGUUUGUAUUUCUAUAAUCCGAACCUAGUUAUUAAUUGUUAUAUUUUUUUAUUCAAUGCAUUUAAUAAAUGUUGAAGUGAGAAUUAUUGUGUUUAUAAUGGAAAUGGAUUAAUUUGGUAUGUGAUGAAUUUAUAUUGAUUGAAUUAAAUUGAAAUAUAUAUAUGUGUGUGUGUGUGUGUGUGUGAAUGAGAUAUUAUGCAAUUAUGAUAAUUGAAUUUUGGAUAAAUAUUAUGAUAAAUAAUUAAGAUGGGAAUUAUUUGUAUUGUGUCUUUAUAAUUGAAAUAAAUUGAUUUAGUGUGUGAUAAAUUUAUAUUGAAUUGAUUUAUGAAUAUAUGUUUUAUUGAAUUUAUAUUGAUUGAAAUUAUUUUGAUUGAAUUUAUAUUGAUUGAAUUAUAUAAUAUAUAUGACUUAUGUAGAAAUUUGAAUAUUGAAUGAAUGUUAUAUUGAAAAAUAUAUUGAUUGGAAAUAUGAGGAAAUUGAUAUGAAUAUAUGAGAUUGUGAUAUUUGAAUAUUUGGUAUUGAAAAGUGAAUUGAAUUGUAUUGAAUUAUGAAUUAAUGUGCAUAAUUGAAAUAUAUUUGUUGAAUUGAAUGAAAUUGUAUGAAUUGUGAAAAUGGGUAAAUAUGUGUAAUUAUUGGAAUGAGAUAUUGAUAAAAGAAUUAUUAAAUUGAGAAAGUGAAUGAAAUACCCUAUUAACUAGUCGGGCUGAGUCGGAUAUAAUUGGCAUGCCAUAGGAUCUGGAAGUGUACGGGAUUUGCCGGCUUUAUCGAUCAGGCACUUUAUGUGUCGUAUUUCAGGCACCUCGUGUGUCGUAUCAGGCACCUCGUGUGUCGUAUCAGGCACCUCGUGUGUCGUUUUAGGCACUUUAUGUGUCGUAUACUGAUCAGGUACUGUGUACCGUUUUAGGCACAAUGUGCCGUACUGGUGUGUUUGGGUUGGAAUCCGUGUAUCCGUCAAAGUCCGGGUUUGUUAAUAGAGGUAAAUAAGUGAAAGAUAAAUCGAAUAAGUUUGAUUGAUCAAGCUAUUGAAAUGAAACGAGAAAUUGAAUUGAGAAUUGAAAAUUUAGAUAUGAAAUUGAAAAUAUGAACCAAAGGUUCAUGAAAUGAUUGGAGUUCGAAUUGAUGAUAUAUGAUGCCACUUGAUGAAUUGAAAUGUGAUUUGAGAUAUAUGGAUCGUAUGUAUAUACUGAAAGCUAUCAUGGAUAGUAAGUUGAUAUGAUAUAAAUGAAAUUGACUGUUAUUGAAAUGAAUUAAAAUGGAAUAUGAUUGAUAAGUGUAUAGUUGAAUAUAGUUUAAUGAUAUUGAAUUGUGAAUAAAUUAAGGAAAGCUAUACCGAAUAGUAAGUGAAAGAAUGGAGUAAAUAGUAAUGGAUUUAUUUAAGAAUUGAACAAUUAUGUUAUUGUGUUUAUUAUAUGAAUUGUAUAAAAUUUAUAUGGUAAGUAGUUGAAAUUUAUCUAUGAAUAAAUAAUUGCUUAAUUGUAAUUGUUAUUAUGAUCUUAAGUAUUUGUUAUAUUAUUAAAUGUUCGGAUUAUAGAAAUACCACUGAGUAUACAAUACUCAGCGUACGGUUUGUUUCCGUGUGCAGGUUAAGUAAAGAUAGUACGUUGAAUCAGUAUCCCAAGACGAUCCCGAAUUCAUUAAGGUAAAGUAUG
rnacentral:lncRNA from 1 species